UGGGGAAUCUUAGACAAUGGGGGCAACCCUGAUCUAGCCAUGCCGCGUGAGUGAUGAAGGCCUUAGGGUUGUAAAGCUCUUUCAGCUGGGAAGAUAAUGACGGUACCAGCAGAAGAAGCCCCGGCUAACUCCGUGCCAGCAGCCGCGGUAAUACGGAGGGGGCCUAGCGUUGUUCGGAAUUACUGGGCGUAAAGCGCACGUAGGCGGACUGGAAAGUCAGAGGUGAAAUCCCAGGGCUCAACCUUGGAACUGCCUUUGAAACUAUCAGUCUGGAGUUCGAGAGAGGUGAGUGGGAAUUCCCGAGUGUAGAGGUGAAAUUUCGUAGAUAUUCGGAGGAACACCAGUGGCG
rnacentral:rRNA from 1 species